rnacentral:rRNA from 1 species
UAACCUGCCCAAGAGACUGGGAUAACACCUGGAAACAGAUGCUAAUACCGGAUAACAACACUAGACGCAUGUCUAGAGUUUAAAAGAUGGUUCUGCUAUCACUCUUGGAUGGACCUGCGGUGCAUCAGCUAGUUGGUAAGGUAACGGCUUACCAAGGCAAUGAUGCAUAGCCGAGUUGAGAGACUGAUCGGCCACAUUGGGACUGAGACACGGCCCAAACUCCUACGGGAGGCAGCAG